rnacentral:tRNA from 1 species
ACCUUUAUAGUUUAUUUUUUAAAAUAUGACUCUGAAGAGGUCAAGAAUUUUUUUGAGGUG